rnacentral:rRNA from 1 species
GAAAUGCGAUAAGUAAUGUGAAUUGCAGAAUUCAGUGAAUCAUCGAAUCUUUGAACGCACCUUGCGCUCCUUGGUAUUCCGAGGAGCAUGCCUGUUUGAGUGUCAUGGUAUUCUCAACCCUCCUGUGGUUUUUGUUUUCGCAAAGUCUGCAGGUUUGGGAUUGGACUUGGAGGUUUUAUUGCCGGGCUUCCUCUUUCGAAGCUUGGCUCCUCUGAAAUGCAUUAGCUUGAAUGAUUUUUACCCAAGCAUGAUCCAGCGUGAUAAUUGUCUACGCUGCCUCAUCGUGGUGAAACAACCUYGGUUGUUUUCGUUCAGGCUUCGAACCGUCUCCUCCGGAGACAAACUCAUCUGAACAUCUGACCUCAAAUCAGGUAGGACUACCCGCUGAACUUAA